rnacentral:rRNA from 1 species
GUGGGGAAUAUUGCACAAUGGGCGAAAGCCUGAUGCAGCGACGCCGCGUGAGCGAUGAAGUAUUUCGGUACGUAAAGCUCUAUCAGCAGGGAAGAUAAUGACGGUACCUGACUAAGAAGCACCGGCUAAAUACGUGCCAGCAGCCGCGGUAAUACGUAUGGUGCAAGCGUUAUCCGGAUUUACUGGGUGUAAAGGGAGCGUAGGCGGCGUGGUAAGUCAGAAGUGAAAGCCCGGGGCUCAACCCCGGGACUGCUUUUGAAACUAUCAUGCUAGAGUGUCGGAGAGGUAAGUGGAAUUCCUAGUGUAGCGGUGAAAUGCGUAGAUAUUAGGAGGAACACCAGUGGCGAAGGCGGCUUACUGGACGAUAACUGACGUUGAGGCUCGAAAGCGUGGGGAGCAAACAGGAUUAGAUACCCUGGUAGUCC